CGUCACCGACCCAACCGGCUGCCCACUGCCUGGUCAUGGCAACAACCCGAUCGUCUCCGGCUCGCCGGACGU
rnacentral:sRNA from 17 species